rnacentral:lncRNA from 1 species
UCAAAUUAUUAUGAAUUUAUAGAAUAUUUUACUAUCUGAUAGGGUAGAUGCUUUCAGGUUAUUCUUUUUUUUCUCUCUCUCUCUAAAAAUACUUUUCUUAGCUAUUCUCUACAAAGUUAUUUGGCCAGAUGAACUUAUUUUUUUUUCUUUUUUCUUUUUAGGGCCACAUCUGUGGCAUAGGGAAGUUCCAGGGAUAGGGGUUGAAUCGGAGCUGCAGCUGCCAGCCUCCACCUUAGUCACAGCAGUGCCAAACCCGAGCCGAAUCUUCGACCUACACUGCACCUUGUGGCAACAUCAGAUCCUUAACCCACUGCACAAAGCCAGGGAUCAAACCCACAUCCUCAUGGAUAUUAGCUGGGUUCUUAACCCUCUGAGCCACAACAGGAACUCUUCCAGCAAAUUUUCAUGUUUCCUCAUUUCUUGAUUUUGCAUUAGGGUUCAUGAAAUGAAUUGAUAAGCUUUCCCUCUUUUUCUGUACUCAGGACCUCUGGGUGACAUAAGGAUUUGCUGCUCUUUGCAAGUCUUGUGAUGAUUAGCCGUAGAAUCAAGUGGAUUGGAAGUGAUUUUUAUAUUACUUGAUAACUUUCUGCAGUUACGGAGUUUAAGAAAGGGGGCAGGGAUGGGAUGGCAGCUGGAGAGCGAUGAAAGAUUGGGGGUGGGGUGCAAAGCGGGUCCUGAUCUAGAGGGAGAAGUUGGACAAUUUGGAAAGAGACUCGCUGGUAAAAUAAUCUUGCUAAGGAGCCUUUGGAAGGGUGGCUGUAAUACACCCUUAGAGAAUGUCAUUAUUUCACGGGGAGGAGAAAAUCCACAAGGGUUGCGUUAUUCUCAGCUCUUUACAACCAACUUGUGAUGACUCUUAGGGUCUUUUCCCUAGAAAACAAGGAAGCAGAUUAGGGUUUUAAAGUGAAAACCCAACCUCCCUCUGUUGGUAAGAACUUGGCUUUCAGAAGUCUUGUGAUGACUGCUCACGUUUGGAUACUGUGGUCCCCUGAGGAGAUGAAAGGUGGAGAAGGGCUUCUAACCCAGGCUCUGGCUGGGGCCAGCGGUCAGCAGGAUUUAGGUGAUGACCUCUGCUCUUAUUCUGCUUCCAAGUCCCAGCUCUCCUGAGGCUGUUCACCCCUGCUCAGGGGCUGUCUGCACAGGUCCUGGGUUCUCCUGGGAGCGCGUGCUGUGAUUUCAUCAGAUUCCUCUUGUGCUGGUGCAAGAAUGUUUUUAGCUAAUGUGCACUCACUUCUGGGGCAUAAUCCUUACUGGUAAGUCUUGGAAGAAAGCUAUUUUUCCAUAAGGAUGGACAUUAGAUUUUGGAUUCUGCUGUUUAUCAUCAAUGUUUUUGCUCAUUUGCCCUCAUUUCUGGGACAUAAUGCUCAUUGGCAGGUCUUGGAAGGAAGCUAUUUUUCUAUAAGAAUGGACGUUAGAUUUUGGAUUCUGCCGUUCACCAUAAAUAUUUUUGCUAAGUGUGGCCCUUAGCUUAUAGCUCAACCAUGGAGAUUGAUGCUAUGGCUCCAAAUAAUGAAAUCAGUCCUUUCAGUUUACUGAGUUUCCUUUGUUUAGAUUGAGUUUCCUGUGUUUAGAUUUAGAUCUGUCUCUUGUUAGAAGUCCUGAGAAAUAAUAAGUAAAGACCUCUCUGGCAUGUUCAUGCUGUCUCAUAGACUGCCAUAAGAUUUAAAAUUUGAGAAUGCAUUCGUGGUUUUGGUAAAAUGAGUUUCCAUGAGGGUCUUUGUCUUUCCUGACUGAUGCUAUUUCUCUUGAUCAUGUAUGGCUAAGAGUUUUCAUGACGUGCCAAACAUUUGGUAUCCAUAGGAUAGAUACCUUCUGCCAAUAUUUAACCCCUUGGCCGUGGGCUAAAAAUUCUGAUGUGAAAAAAAAUGCACAUUCCUAAAUACUUCCCUUUGUUAAUUAAGUUAGCUGAUUAAAGGUGCUACUUAAUUGUUCUGUCAACUUCUUUGUUGUUAAAAGGUGAAAUACAUAUGUAUGUCUGUAGGUGUCAGGUAUAAAUUAGAAUUAGUCAAGUCAAAUCUAACUGUGUCUUUGUAAAUGAUUCUGUCACUGUUGCUGAUAUUUAUUUUUUGUUUUUCUUUUUUCUUUUUUGCUUUUCUAAUAUUUUAAAUAAUUUACUUCCUGUAUUAUAGUUUAUCUCUCUUCUCUUUCUGUCUUUUUUAGGCCCACACCCAAGACAUGGAAGUUCCCAGGCUAAGGGUCUAAUCAGAGCUGUAGCUGUGGGCCUACAGCACAGCCACAGCAACACCAGAUCCAAGCUGCAUCUGUGACUUAUGCAGCAGCUUGCAGUAACAGUGGAUCCUUAACCCACUGAGUGGGGCCAGGGAUCGAACCCUGGCCUCGUGGAACUCGCAUCCUGAUGGAUGCUGUGUUGGGUUCUUAACCCACUGAGCCACAGCAGGAACUCCUAUCUCAAUUUUUAAAAAUUAGUUGUCUUGGAGUUCCCGUCGUGGCGCAGUGGUUAACGAAUCUGACUAGGAACCAUGAGGUUGCGGGUUCGGUCCCUGCCCUUGCUCAGUGGGUUAACGAUCCGGCGUUGCCGUGAGCUGUGGUGUGGGUUGCAGACGCGGCUCGGAUCCUGCGUUGCUGUGUCUCUGGCGUAGGCUGGUGGCUACAGCUCCAAUUUGACCCCUAGCCUGGGAACCUCCAUAUGCCACGGGAGUGGCCCAAAGAAAUAGCAAAAAGACAAAAAAAAAAAAAAAAAAAAAAAAUUAGUUGUCUUAAGAGUUCCUGCUUUGGCACAGUGGGAUCAGUGGCAUCUUGGGAGUACUGGGACAUGGGUUCUAUCCUGAGUCUGAACACUGGGUUAAGGAUCUGGAGUCGAGACUGCAGCUUGGAUCUGAUCCCUGGCCGGGGAGCUCCAUAUGCCUUGGGGUGGCCAAAAAUGAAAAACAAAAAUUGUCUCAAAUUACAAAAGAGUUUUUUUCUUUUUCGACUGCAACCAAAGCAUAUGGAGGUUCCCAGACCAGGGAUGGAAUCCAAGCCAGAGCUGCAACCUAUGCCACAGCUGCGGCAGCGCUGCAUCCUUAACCCACUGUGCUGGGCCGGCGACCGAACCCACGUCCCCACCACUGCAGAGACCAUUGAUUCUGCCGUGCCACAGUGGGAACUUCUUGUUUGUUUUUUUCAAAUGAAGAGUAAAACGAGAUGUAUCGGAUUUCUGUGUCAUAGACCUAAAAAUUUAAAACAGUGUUUAUUUAUUUGAAUUACAUACUUUUCUUACUUUUGGAAAGAACUGAGAGAAGGAAAAUUCCUAGGAACAAAUAUCGUGUCGUAUAUUUAAUUUGAGGGAUCUAUGAAAAGUUAUUUCAGUUUGUAUUUUGAAGGCGUGUUGAGGGAGACCAGAGUCUAUAUUAAUUGAAGUAGAAAGUUCUCUGCUCCUGUGAAUAGUGGGGAAAGCAGAAGAGCCUCUCAAAUAUAGAAUGUGCUUUAUAGACUAUAGAAUAUACUUGAUAGCACACAGAAGAUCCGGGAGGGAAAACAGGUUUGGUUCAGCGAGGUUCUGCUAAUGUGAGAAAGGCAAUUACGUGUGGUAGAACCAUCUAAGCCAUUUUGCCAAAAUGUUUUCCUCCCUGUUCCUGGGUCUUCUCCUUGUACACCUGUGUCUUUAGCCAGGGGGCACCUGCUUUUCUGUGAACAGGGAUCAAAGCUCGGAAAGAUCACAGGUGGUCCUGUCUCCUCAGUGGGUUUCCCUUUGAAAAAUGCAGAUGUUGAUAGUAAUUUAUGUUCUGUGUGGCAUUAAUGAUUACAUCUCUGUUUACACACAAAUAAGAUGAAAUGGAGAAUUGAGGCAUCUGCCAGAAGAAUUGAGGGGGAAUCUUUCGAGAAUGACUAGAAUUUUCCUUCUUCAUCUCUGCACUCUGUGCCUCUUUGGCAUGCAGGAGGUUUUUGGUUUUUGGUUUUUAAUUUGUAUCAUUUGUAGACUUAAGGAAUUUUUGGCCCAUAAAAGAAUCAUUUUGGAAUUCCAGCAUGGCUCAGCAUUUAACGAACCCAACUAGCAUCCAUGAGGACGCAGGUUCAAUCCCUGGCCUUGCUCAGUGGGUUAAGGAUCCGGCGUUGCCGUGAGCUGUGGUGUAGGUGGCAGAUGCGGCUUGGAUCUGGUGUGGCUGUGGCUGUGGUGUAGGCCGGCAGCUGUAGCCCCGAUUUGACCCCUAGCCUGGGAACUUCCAUAUGCCGAAAGUUCGGCCCUAAAAAGACAGAAAAGGGGGUGGUGGGACUUACUGAUGUUGAAAUAUUCUACCCUCGUUUAUUUGUUUGUUUGUUUUUAAAAAAGUGAGUUGAUCUUAAGGCCCUUGUUAGCCCUAAAAUUCUUGCGUUCGGAAAUCUAAAAUUUUUAGGUGUUAGGUUCAGGCCUUUGUUCUGAGAGAUUUGCCUUCAUCCGUAACCAAGACUCUUUCCAUUCCUCUUGACCUAAUUGUCUUCUGCAGUUUUCCUGUCCUGUUUUUCGGGAACCGUCUUCCAAGCUGCCCUGGCUGUUCAGUGUAGUGUACCGGGAGAGGCAUCAUCUUUGAAAUUAGAUGGGAUUCAGAUCUUUUCUCCACGGACUAUUUGUUGUGAAUAUACCCUCGGUAAAUUUGCUGAGCCUCAGUUUUCUCAUCUGGGAGGACCCGGUCUGGCCUGGCCUGCCCUCCCUCUCUUGACCCUGAGAUGGGAAGUUCGAGGUUAAAGAUUUAGGCUUUUUGUUCUUAAUUCUGCCUACAUUUGAGUAGAUGGCAAAAAGGAAGAGACAGAAGGUCACGAAAUUCAUUCUUCAAAUUUCAUCACGAGCCCUCAGUGGUGGGAAGAGCUUGGCCAUGCUUAGAAUAAACUGGGUCCUAAGCAAAUUGCAUGUCACCGUCUUUCCUUUCCCCUUAGCCAAAUAACUCUGCAGGUAUCUUAUUUCUUUUUUGGCCAUGCCUGCAGCCUGUGGAAAUUCCCUGGCCAGGGAUCAACCCCGUGCCACAGCUGUAGCCAGAGCCACAACAGUGACAAUACUGGGUCUUUAACCUGCUGUGCCACCAGGGAACUCCUCCAAUUAUUUUUUUUCCAAUGAUUACAACUUUAAAGUUUCUCUUGGAGUUCCUGUUGUGGCUCAGUGAGUUAACCCAACAUAGGUGUUCCUGUGGUGGCUUAGCUGUUAAUGAACUGGACUAGCAUCCAUGAGGACAUGGGUUCAAUCUCUGGCCUUGCUCAAAGGGUUAAGGAACCGGUGUUGCUGUGAGCUGGGGUGUAGGUCACAGAUGUGGCUCAGAUCCCAUGUUGCCGUGGCUGUGGCAUAGGCUGGCAGCUACAGCUUCGAUUAGACCUCUAUCUAGCCUGGGAACCUCCAUAUGCCUCGGGUGCAGCC